rnacentral:rRNA from 1 species
UACAGAGGUCCCGAGCGUUGUUCGGAUUCACUGGGCGUAAAGGGUGCGUAGGUGGUGAGGUAAGUCGGAUGUGAAAUCUCCGGGCUCAACCCGGAAAUGGCAUUGGAAACUACCUUGCCGGAGGAUUUGAGGGGGGAUUGGAAUACUUGGUGUAGCAGUGAAAUGCGUAGAUAUCAAGUGGAACACCAGUGGCGAAGGCGAAUCCCUGGAAAAUACCUGACACUGAGGCACGAAAGCUAGGGGAGCAAACAGG